rnacentral:rRNA from 1 species
UACGGAGGGAGCUAGCGUUGUUCGGAAUUACUGGGCGUAAAGCGUACGUAGGCGGUUUUUCAAGUCAGGGGUGAAAUCCCGGAGCUCAACUUCGGAACUGCCUCUGAAACUAGAUAGCUAGAAUCUUGGAGAGGUCAGUGGAAUUCCGAGUUUAGAGGUGAAAUUCGUAGAUAUUCGGAAGAACACCAGUGGCGAAGGCGACUGACUGGACAAGUAUUGACGCUGAGGUACGAAAGCGUGGGGAGCAAACAGG